rnacentral:lncRNA from 12 species
AUAGGGAAAUCUGCCUCCUAUUCCUUGGAUACAGUGUUCCUUUCUUUUUGUUCCACAUGAAAGGAGAGAUAUUCUAAGAUUCUCUUUGGUGCACACAUUUUAGACAAGAUUGGAUGUGCCCUAAGGAAACUUUGACCCUUCAGGAAAAGAUCAGGAGUCCCUUUUUUGGGAAAUUUUUUCCUUCCUUGGGUUUACUUACAAUAGAAAAUUUGGGAAAACAAACCACUUGCCAUGCAUGUGUGUCUUGUUUGCUUUGGGAAUAUUCUUAUCCUAAAUAAGAGAGCUCUGAGCUUUCUCUCUCUCUGCUCUAAUGUGGCUGAGCUCUAUCCUUGGAAAGGGCAUUGGAUAUAGUGCUUCUGAACCUAUGAGUCUGUGGCAAUUUGAAGUUUCCUAAUAUUCCUUAGCAUUCUCUCAUGUAACUUCACAGGAUAGUACUUGAUGGUGUUGAGCUCCCAGCAGAGCAAAGGCCAAGCCCAUACCAGCUAGGCUCUCACAAUCUCCCCAUUGUGCCUGUGCUAUGACUUCACCAACCUGAAAACCCAACAGGUGACAGUAUGGGCAGGAUUUCCCCAUGUCCUUUCCCACCCCGAGGAUAUGUUUUUUUCAGACUCCAAUUUAGGCUCAGAUCCUGGCCCUGGAAUCUUCUUUGUGACGGGUAUCCUCAUUUUCAUCUUUGGGCCCUGUAUCUUCCUUUUUCUCAUUUUCCUGAUGAUUCAGCAAUGCAAAAAGAAAAUAAAGUGCCAAGAUUGGUUUUCACAUCCUUCAUGGAAUGAAUGUGUGGAAGAGGAGAAACUCCUGAGUGAAGAUGCACUUGUAUGUGAGGAUACUGAGAUUAGAGGCACCGGGGUGUCAUAUGAAGAACAAAUAUGCCUGUAUUGAAACUCCUGUUACAUUUUGGUCCAGACUAGAGGUCCAGAAAGUAGCACUGUCUAUAUCCAGAUAAGAUAGUGCCAACUUGUGUUCCAUUUCUAUAUAAAUUGUCCUUUCAGACCAGUUCUGUGUUAUCAAGAAAUCUUUGUGAAUAUUUAGAGACUUUAACACAAACUGCUUUUAUAGAAUUCAUACCCCAAACUGCUUUAAUCCAAACACAUUUUCUUCCCCUGAGUGAAAUCCUAGGUGAUUGAUCCACGCUCAGACUGAAGCAGAUGCUGAAUCCAGCUCCGGAUCUGAGAUUUCUUUCCUCAGGAUGACUUCACAGUGAAAACAUGUGAAUAUUCCAGAAAUGUUCUAAUUACAUCAUCUUUUCUUACAUAAUUUCAGCCCCUCCCCCCAUGGACUUCAGAAUGUGAUUUCAUGGGAGUGGGGGGAUAGAUGUGUGUAUUUCAGAAAUAUCUUAAAUAUUUGUAAAAAUAAACAAAUCUGAAAACUUCUCA